GGGUCAUUUUAGAGCUUAUUUUCUCAUUCACCUCUUAUUGUGUAACAGUUUGUUUCAGUACAAGUACUCCAGGAGAUUGCUAAGACCAAAGGGACCCCAGGCAGGAAGAAAACCUCAUUCCAGCCAGAGGAGUUGAAUGUUGAUCCUCCAUUGUUCCAUUUCACUCCAACUUUUUGACUAAUGGUCCAGAUCGUAAUUGAGAAAUUGCAUUCAAGAGUAGAUGAUCAAAUAUUUCAGGUCCAGCCUUGCAUAAAGGAUAACAGAAGAGAGCACUCCAACCAUUUUAAUCUUCCCGUGUUCAGCUUUUUGAUAGCUAGCCAUAUGAAAAUCUUGAUUAUUUUUUUUCAGGACUAAUUUCCUUCCAGAGUGCCGGUGCUAAGGCAGACUAUCCCUCCAUAAUUGAUGAAUCCAUAGAGGGACUGGUCAGAAUAUAACUUACUAGAAGGACUUGACAGAAUAUAAUUUACUAGAAGAAGCUUUUGGUACUUUGAAGUAUAUCAAUGGACUUUGAAGUACAUCAACGGACAAAGAAGAGGAUGGCUUCUAUCACGGUGCAUGAUGAUAUGAAAUACUGUCUCACUCAAUUGGAGGAGCAAGUCACACAACUCCCAGAGCUUUUGGCUCGACUUCUACCUUUGGAUUCAAUACCUGCAUCUCCUAUCACAAAUUAUCUCUAACAUCCGGGGAUGAUGAGAACUUUGUUUUGUUGAUAUUGAAAGAGGUGGAUACUUGGAAACUGAUCAUGAAUUGAAAUUAGAAAAUUAAGAGGCUUGGUCAUUGGAUGAGAAAGCAAGUGUUACCCUUACAGGAGCUAAUUUUCUCAAACAAGAAGAGCUCUAAUCCAAAAGGAUCAUAUGACCUGCCAUGGACCAAUCUUGCAAUUCUAAAUAGGUUUAGACGAGCUUCAGAAGCAAAAUCUGUUAAUCCAAGACUCAAAUCAUAUACCAAAAAUUUGUGAAGCCAUAAGUUUUAAUCCAGAAAAAAAUAUAGUGA
rnacentral:lncRNA from 1 species